rnacentral:rRNA from 1 species
GAUCAUGGCUCAGAACGAACGCUGGCGGCAGGCUUAACACAUGCAAGUUGAACGGGAUCCUUAGUAUAGCUUGCUAGUAUUAAGGUGAGAGUAGCGCACGGGUGAGUAACACGUGGGAACAUACCUUGUAGUGUGGGAUAACAAUUGGAAACGAUUGAUAAUACCGCAUAAGCCCUGAGGGGGAAAGGAGCAAUUCGCUAUAAGAUUGGCCCGCGGAAGAUUAGGCAGUUGGUGGGGUAAAGGCCUACCAAACCUACGAUCUAUAGCUGGUCUGAGAGGACGAUCAGCCACAUUGGGACUGAGACACGGCCCAAACUCCUACGGGAGGCAGCAGUGAGGAAUAUUGGGCAAUGGGGGCAACCCUGACCCAGCCCAUGCCGCGUGAGUGAAGAAGGUUUUCGAAUUGUAAAGCUCUUUCGGAUGUGAAGAUGAUGACGGUAGCAUCUAAAGAAGCCCCGGCAAACUUCGUGCCAGCCGCAGC